rnacentral:rRNA from 1 species
AAUGAGCCUGCGAGUUGUGGUGUCUGGCAAGGUUAAGCAAACGCGAAGCCGUAGCGAAAGCGAGUCUGAAUAGGGCGCUUAGUCAGAUGCUGCAGACCCGAAACGAAGUGAUCUAUCCAUGAGCAAGUUGAAGCUAGUGUAAGAACUAGUGGAGGACUGAACCCAUAGGCGUUGAAAAGCCCCGGGAUGACUUGUGGAUAGGGGUGAAAGGCCAAUCAAACUUCGUGAUAGCUGGUUCUCUCCGAAAUAUAUUUAGGUAUAGCGUUGUGUCGUAAUAUAAGGGGGUAGAGCACUGAAUGGGCUAGGGCAUACACCAAUGUACCAAACCCUAUCAAACUCCGAAUACCUUAUAUGUAAUCACAGCAGUCAGGCGGCGAGUGAUAAAAUCCGUCGUCAAGAGGGAAACAACCCAGACUACCAGCUAAGGUCCCUAAAUCUUACUU